GGUUAAGCGACUAAGCGUACACGGUGGAUGCCCUGGCAGUCAGAGGCGAUGAAGGGCGUGCUAAUCUGCGAUAAGCGCCGGUAAGGUGAUAUGAACCGUUAUAACCGGCGAUACCCGAAUGGGGAAACCCAGUGUGAUUCGUCACACUAUCAUUAACUGAAUCCAUAGGUUAAUGAGGCGAACCGGGGGAACUGAAACAUCUAAGUACCCCGAGGAAAAGAAAUCAACCGAGAUUCCCCCAGUAGCGGCGAGCGAACGGGGAGGAGCCCAGAGCCUGAAUCAGCAUGUGUGUUAGUGGAAGCGUCUGGAAAGUCGCGCGAUACAGGGUGACAGCCCCGUACACAAAAGCGCAUGUGUUGUGAGCUCGAUGAGUAGGGCGGGACACGUGGUAUCCUGUCUGAAUAUGGGGGGACCAUCCUCCAAGGCUAAAUACUCCUGACUGACCGAUAGUGAACCAGUACCGUGAGGGAAAGGCGAAAAGAACCCCGGCGAGGGGAGUGAAAAAGAACCUGAAACCGUGUACGUACAAGCAGUGGGAGCACAGGUUUACCUGUGUGACUGCGUACCUUUUGUAUAAUGGGUCAGCGACUUAUAUUCUGUAGCAAGGUUAACCGUAUAGGGGAGCCGGAGGGAAACCGAGUCUUAAUUGGGCGUUAAGUUGCAGGGUAUAGACCCGAAACCCGGUGAUCUAGCCAUGGGCAGGUUGAAGGUUGGGUAACACUAACUGGAGGACCGAACCGACUAAUGUUGAAAAAUUAGCGGAUGACCUGUGGCUGGGGGUGAAAGGCCAAUCAAACCGGGAGAUAGCUGGUUCUCCCCGAAAGCUAUUUAGGUAGCGCCUCGUGAAUUCAUCUCCGGGGGUAGAGCACUGUUUCGGCUAGGGGGCCAUCCCGGCUUACCAACCCGAUGCAAACUGCGAAUACCGGAGAAUGUUAUCACGGGAGACACACGGCGGGUGCUAACGUCCGUCGUGAAGAGGGAAACAACCCAGACCGCCAGCUAAGGUCCCAAAGUCAUGGUUAAGUGGGAAACGAUGUGGGAAGGCCCAGACAGCCAGGAUGUUGGCUUAGAAGCAGCCAUCAUUUAAAGAAAGCGUAAUAGCUCACUGGUCGAGUCGGCCUGCGCGGAAGAUGUAACGGGGCUAAACCAUGCACCGAAGCUGCGGCAGCGA
rnacentral:rRNA from 1 species